AUUGAACGCUGGCGGCAUGCUUUACACAUGCAAGUCGAACGGCAGCGCGGGGCAACCUGGCGGCGAGUGGCGAACGGGUGAGUAAUACAUCGGAACGUACCCAGAAGUGGGGGAUAACGUAGCGAAAGUUACGCUAAUACCGCAUACGUUCUACGGAAGAAAGUGGGGGACCUUCGGGCCUCAUGCUUUUGGAGCGGCCGAUGUCUGAUUAGCUAGUUGGUGAGGUAAAGGCUCACCAAGGCGACGAUCAGUAGCUGGUCUGAGAGGACGACCAGCCACACUGGGACUGAGACUCGGCCCAGACUCCUACGGGAGGCAGCAGUGGGGAAUUUUGGACAAUGGGCGCAAGCCUGAUCCAGCAAUGCCGCGUGAGUGAAGAAGGCCUUCGGGUUGUAAAGCUCUUUUGUCAGGGAAGAAACGGCUGAGGAUAAUACCUUCGGCUAAUGACGGUACCUGAAGAAUAAGCACCGGCUAACUACGUG
rnacentral:rRNA from 1 species